CCCAAAUCAAGAAUGCACUGCGAGAUGAAGGGAGCCGCAAAAAAUAUCACACAAGAGUUCCUUUAGGUAUACCAGAGUCGCGUAAUGCCUAUCGAGUUACGGUAUAUGGUUGGAUGAAUAACAAUACACGAAGUCUACUAGAACUGAAUAUAGCAAUAUAUCGCAGUGGGUGGACUGAAACAAAUCAACAAGCGAUUUGGGUACAGGUGGAGUUGGGUAGCCUACUAUGUCAGAUGAGACUGAAAAGAAGUCAUUACAAGAUCAUGUCGAUAUCUGGUUCGCCGGCUGUAUCAUUGCUGUUCUUAUUAUUCUGGUCAUUGCCAAACAGCGACACAGGACAAUUAGAGCAGUGGCGUGGUGUGUUCGGCAUACACGGAACUGUGGUCCGGUAGUGGCAGAUUUUAUCUUUGAUGUCUGGCAAGUCGGUGAAGUGGUGAAGGCAGAGAUAGAUAAGAUUCUCGUGACUGUCCUUGCGGUGAGAGCUUUAUUUCCUCAAAUUGUAACAAGCUUUGAUCUCGUGGUUGUUGGCACACCAUUCCUCAAUUAUGCGGUCGUAGUCACUGUCUAUGUCCGUGUUGUCCUUUUUUAUCGAAGCAAUUCUUCUUAUACCAGAACAAAAAAGGUGUUGGCAUAUAUAGGGAUAGUUGUUUCGAUUGCGUUUUUAAUUUACGGAAACAAAGUUUUCAAAGAUUCGAAAAACCUUCAAAACCUUUUGAACAAAGCGAGCUUGUCAAAGUGUAAAACUGACAUUAAAGAUAUAACAGCACUGAACUUUAACCCCAAGCCAAAUAAAAUUAUCCGAACUUUUUUCUCUGAAGUUUGUAAAGACAGAGAAAGCAUGAUGAAUCGACUUUUACUUCAACAUCAUAAUUUUAACAACUAUUUGAAAAUCAAAGAUCCACGCGACCUUUUUUCGGAUACAGAUAAUCGACAAAUUCGAUUUGUUGGGAUCGUUGGCGGCUAUGCUGGAUGUCGAUUAUCACUCCUGGACUCGUUCACUAAACAUGUACUAAAGAAUGGCACGCUUGGUAAAAACGCCAUCAAGUACACUCGUCGUGUUAAUUUUAACGAUUUACCGAAAUCUAACUCUAUCUCUGUGGGCGAGUUGCUAUUUGCAGACAUCAGCAAAGAUGACGCCGAACAGGGAAUAAAUGAAAUAAACAUGGACUCCACGACGUUUCUGAUUAUCAUAGAUGGCAUUGAAAGUAUUGAAAAUAUAUUGAAACAAGGAGAAUGGAUUACAGACCACAAACAGAAGUCCACAUCCGAAAAUAUUCUGAAAAGUUUAUUUACUGGGCAUUUGUGGAACGGGACACGGAUAUUGACUAUUCAGUACGAUCCAGAUUUUGUUAUUGAAAUCAACAAAAGAACAAGAGAGAUGGCCUCUGAAUUUAAAUUUAUGAAUUAUUCAGAACAAAACUUUGAAGUUUAUCCCGAACUAACAGCUGUGAACUAUUAUGAAGAUGCUGCCAAUCGACCCGAAUAUCGAAUCCAUCGUGAAUUUAGUAAGCAAAUUCCAAAACAAAAAGGAGACACAAUGGAUAUAAUAUCAUUAUUUUCUGAUAUUGACCCAAAUCCAGUGAGUAUAUCGUAUGUUGCUUUAAUAGGAGGAGCUGGAUAUGGAAAAACAGAAUUAUGUAAAAAGUUUUCUUUGAAAGUGUUGGAUGGACUAGUAGAAGAAUUGGAUGAAGUGGAAGCUGUUCACCUAAUUACGUUCAGGGAAUUAGCAAGUGACGACUCUGUCGCAAUUGGUCAAUUACUAUUUGGUCGUUUUUUCCCCGAGUGGACCGGAGAAAAAAUUGAUACCCUGAUAAACUGGAUUAUAAAACACCCAAAGAAGUUUUUGCUUGUCUUAGAUGGUGCGGAUCAAUAUCCGAAAAAGUUGGGUGAAAGUUUUAUACCGACUGAUUAUCACAGUCGAAACGAAGCAACCUUAAUAUUAAAUGCUUUAUUUGAUAGAAAAGGACGCUUGUUUCCCGGUAUGCGUCUCCUCAUUUCAUCCAGAGAACACGCCAUAAGGGAUUUUCGAGUUUCCCUUCGUCCCCAGAGAGUCGUUCAAUUGAAUGGGUUGAAAUUAGAAGAUGUAGAAACGCUAGUCUUAGCUUAUGGAGGAGAGUAUGGUACUGCUGUUUGGAAUCAUUUACAGGAGAAAUCACCUGAUCUAUUGAAUAUAUGUCAAAUUCCAAUGUUUUUGGUUUUUACUGUUGUAGCUCUCAAAGAUCACAUGAACGAACCGACACCCCCUCAGACUUUGACUGAAAUUCUUAUGCUAGUUCUGAGUAGGCAACUAAUUGUUUCCGACGAACACGUGAACAAAAUGACCAUUGUUGAGGUCAUUCAUCAAUUAAAAAGGAUGUCAUUCGAAGGUAUCAAAAAUGAAAGAGUGACCUUCACGUGGGAUGAAUUACCAAAAAAUAUUACCAUCAAAAUUCUUGAACGAGAUUUAAUUAUACCCAUUCCGGGAACAACGGGAAAGAUGCAGAGUAUUUUGGAAGGAAACCUGGUGUACUUUUUUUGUCACCAGUCGCUCCAGGAGGCGUUUUCGGCUUUGUAUAUUGUAGAGUUGUCGUACGAUGAAUUUAAAAAGGUCAUCCCCACCUACCUGCACAACCCAAAGUGGGCAGUUAUACGAAGACUAGUCUGUGGUAUUUUGUUGAACAAUACAACAAGAAAAAUUGCAAGAGGAUUGUCAAGUGCGGUUAGCCUUCUCAGAGUUAAAGAGGAAUCAUUAGAUGAGUCCGUUAGAUUUUUACGAGCAAGUCUUACCGAACAACUAACAGAUGCAAAUGAAAAUACAAACUCAAGAAAUUUUGUUGAUCUUAUGUAUGCAUUGAGCGAGUGUCACGAAGGAAUUCACGACAUUAUAAACUCUAAUUUGCAUUCAAUUACAAUGGAACGCAUCUCAGUAUCUCGGAGCGAUAUUCAUGUUAUAAGAACACUAAUUGCACACGUAAAAGAACUUGAAAUCAUCAACUUUGAUGAGACAAAUAUUCCUGUUUAUAGAUUAGAAGAGCUUGGAAUUGCUUUGCUAGAGUCGCAAGUGAAGAUACAUGCGGCAAAGUUUGGAUCAUUUUCUUCAAGGAGUAAAGGAUUGCUGAAGCAACAAUUUAUUUUUCGUGAUCUUCUAAAGCAAAUUACGAGUGAAUUACAUCUGACUUAUGAAAAUGAAAGACCAAACCUUCCAAUUUUAGAAAAAGAAAUUGAAAAUUAUCCCACGUUGAAACUUGUCAUCUUGGUUAAAGCAAUGUAGAAGACAAGUGAGUGAGAGUGGAAAGAAGUGAUGUGAUAGAUACACGACGACACAUGUCCUAAUCCUGCCAAUCCACCUGGACCCGAGCUCCGGAAAAGACAGGACAAGUAAACUUUAAUUGCUGUGCUGAUGUCUGCUUUCGCUGAUAUUUUAUCCAAAACUACAUCACAAACAUCUACGUUGGAUC